UACGAAGGGGGCAAGCGUUGUUCGGAAUCACUGGGCGUAAAGGGCGCGUAGGCGGCUUUAUAAGUCGGGGGUGAAAGCCUGUGGCUCAACCACAGAAUUGCCUUCGAUACUGUAGAGCUUGAGACCGGAAGAGGUAAGUGGAACUGCGAGUGUAGAGGUGAAAUUCGUAGAUAUUCGCAAGAACACCAGUGGCGAAGGCGGCUUACUGGUCCGGUUCUGACGCUGAGGCGCGAAAGCGUGGGGAGCAAACAGG
rnacentral:rRNA from 1 species